rnacentral:misc_RNA from 1 species
AUACAAGGGGGAAUCACUGAGCUGAUGAGUGAGCCUAACCAUUUGCCCGACACCAUUGCAGAAACUGGUUAUUUUACCAAGGCUUUGACUGGAAUAGUGUGCUUCCCUUUAAGGAAUCAAACUUGACUUUUGGAGCUAAUAAAAGCCCCUUGGGAAAACUGCUCUCUUACCUUGUCUACACAGUCUCUGGACAGAGUUCCUGACCUGUG